rnacentral:miRNA from 1 species
UCUGAAACCGAUGUUAACUACU